rnacentral:rRNA from 1 species
CAAUAGCGUAUAUUUAAGUUGUUGCAGUUAAAAAGCUCGUAGUUGGAUUUCGGUUGAGAACGGCCGGUCCGCCGUUUGGUGUGCACUGGCUGGUUUCAACUUCCUGUAGAGGACGCGCUCUGGCUUCACGGCUGGACGCGGAGUCUACGUGGUUACUUUGAAAAAAUUAGAGUGUUCAAAGCGGGCUUACGCUUGAAUAUUUCAGCAUGGAAUAACACUAUAGGACUCCUGUCCUAUUUCGUUGGUCUCGGGACGGGAGUAAUGAUUAAGAGGAACAGUUGGGGGCAUUCGUAUUUCAUUGUCAGAGGUGAAAUUCUUGGAUUUAUGAAAGACGAACUUCUGCGAAAGCAUUUGCCAAGGAUGUUUNCAUUA